AAAUAGAUACCCAGGUAGUCCACGCCGUAAACGAUGAGUGCUAAGUGUUAGAGGGUUUUCCGCCCUUUAGUGCUGCAGCUAACGCAUUAAGCACUCCGCCUGGGGAGUACGACCGCAAGGUUGAAACUCAAAGGAAUUGACGGGGGCCCGCACAAGCGGUGGAGCAUGUGGUUUAAUUCGAAGCAACGCGAAGAACCUUACCAGGUCUUGACAUCCUCUGACCUCCCUAGAGAUAGGGCCUUCCCCUUCGGGGGACAGAGUGACAGGUGGUGCAUGGUUGUCGUCAGCUCGUGUCGUGAGAUGUUGGGUUAAGUCCCGCAACGAGCGCAACCCUUGACCUUAGUUGCCAGCAUUCAGUUGGGUCACUCUAAGGUGACUGCCGGUGACAAACCGGAGGAAGGUGGGGAUGACGUCAAAUCAUCAUGCCCCUUAUGACCUGGGCUACACACGGUGCUACAAUGGAUGGUACAAAGGGCUGCGAGACCGCGAGGUUAAGCCAAUCCCAAUAAAACCAUUCUCGAGUUCGGAUUGCAGG
rnacentral:rRNA from 1 species